GGGAGGGAGAGAAAGAGGGAGGGAAAGGAGAGAGAAAAACCAACUUGUCUGUAGCAGCAACAUGCUAGCCCCUAGUUAUGGCUCAUGCCCACUUGUAUUUUUCAUACUCUACUUACAACCCAACAGUGGGUCAUGAAAUUAACUUAGUUGAUGAUGUGACUAGUACUUAAACAAAUGCAAGGGAAAAUAUCAGUGUACAGCACAAACAGUAAAUAUAAGUUGUGUUUUGUGGAACUUUUUGUUUGCAUUCUUACUGUGGGUUACAGUUUAAAAAAAAAACAAAACAGCUGUCUAAGUCUUGACAAUCCUUUUCAUAGCUUUUUUCAGUGAAGCUAGAGGUGACCGUGAGACCUGCUUCUGGACACAGAGACAGGGGAAAGUGUACUGGGGGAGGAGAGAUCUGAGGGAUGGUGAAGAUAACUUUUGCUUUCCUGGUAGAAAGAACAGAUGUCUCUCCUGCUUGCCUGUCUCAAAUGAGUACAUGAUGUGUAAUAUCUGGAGCAUUGGCAGCCACGUUGAGAUCAUAAUGCAACAUGUCCACAUGCUGAGGCUGGCAGAGCAUAAAGAUCAAAGGUGUCUGGAUCGUUCUUAACAUCAUGGAGCUUCUGCACCAUCCCUGCACUGCCUACUCCAGACUCCCUACCAUGGAGAAAAAUUAGCUCCUAUUUCUUCAAGGCAGAGAUUCAGGUAAGAAAACAGACUCAGGGAGGCCGAGAUCCCCCUCCAAAUGACACGUACAGAUAGCAGUAGAGUCCAGGUUUGUGCCUGGUGGCCCCACGUGGUGGUGUCUGUACCACCCGGGAGUGAAGGAAAACAACAUCUACCUCUAAUGGAACACACUGGGUCUCAGGGGAGCCAAGGCCACACAGAAGUUCCUGCAAGACUUCUUGCUCCAGGACGCCACCCCAGUAAAGGAGGCCUUUGGGAGUCCAUUAAGUGAGCAGGGCGUCCUGUUCAUCGUGGGCAAUUGCAUUCUUUUUGGCCUUCCUACCUCAGAAAGACUUAGGAAAUGCUGUUAUUCUGCAAACAGUUCGGACUGGCUUGUAAGAUCCAUAAAAAGACAAAUGGAAACACUCACGAGCCAAUGUUUUUAUGAAAGAGCCACAAAGGACAAAUUUAUGUUUGAUUUGCAAGUAGGGAAGCUCAUAAGAACCUAAAAGCCUGAUAAAGACUACCCGGCCCGUCUGUCAGGCAGGCUGUUCUGUGUGGUUUUGGCUUGAGGCAUCUUGGCACCAGGGCUCAGCUUCCAAAAGACCGAAAAAUUACCUUCUUCCCUUUGGUGCUCCCAGGGUGAAAAGGCUGGGUACAAUCACGUGUUGUUGAGAUGUAAUUUAGAUUUUUGAGGCCUGAAAAAUAGGUUUAUAUAUCUUGAUGUAAAUGAUAUUAAUAAUGAGAACCAUUUUCAAACCAUUCUCUUAAGACAGUAAAUGGGAUUUUGAAUUAA